CGGGUGUAGCUCAGUGGUAGAGCAUCACCUUCCCAAGGUGAAAGUCGCGAGUUCGAUCCUCGUCACCC
rnacentral:tRNA from 1 species